CGGCGAGUAGCGCAGCUUGGUAGCGCAACUGGUUUGGGACCAGUGGGUCGGGGGUUCGAAUCCUCUCUCGCCGACCA
rnacentral:tRNA from 1 species